AGGACGAACGCUGGCGGCGUGCCUAACACAUGCAAGUGGAGCGACGAACCAGGCUUCGGCCUGGGGCAGAGCCGCGAACGGGUGAGUAACACGUGGGUAACCUGCCCUGAUGAUUGGGACAACCCGAGGAAACUCGGGCUAAUACCAAAUGUGCCCUCCGGCCUCAAGGCCUGUGGGGAAAGGAAGCUUCGGCCUCCGCAUCGGGAUGGGCCCGCGGCCCAUUAGCUUGUUGGUGAGGUAAUGGCUCACCAAGGCUACGAUGGGUAGCUGGUCUGAGAGGACGAUCAGCCACACUGGGACUGAGACACGGCCCAGACUCCUACGGGAGGCAGCAGUGGGGAAUCUUGCGCAAUGCGCGAAAGCGUGACGCAGCAACGCCGCGUGGGGGAAGAAGGCCUUCGGGUGUAAACCCUUUCAGUUGGGACGAAGCUUCGCCGGUGAACAGCCGGCUGGAGUGACGGUACCUUCAGAAGAAGCCCCGGCUAACUACGUGCCAGCAGCCG
rnacentral:rRNA from 1 species